GAUGAACGCUGGCGGCGUGCCUAAUACAUGCAAGUCGAGCGAACAGACGAGGAGCUUGCUCCUCUGACGUUAGCGGCGGACGGGUGAGUAACACGUGGAUAACCUACCUAUAAGACUGGGAUAACUUCGGGAAACCGGAGCUAAUACCGGAUAAUAUAUUGAACCGCAUGGUUCAAUAGUGAAAGACGGUUUUGCUGUCACUUAUAGAUGGAUCCGCGCCGCAUUAGCUAGUUGGUAAGGUAACGGCUUACCAAGGCGACGAUGCGUAGCCGACCUGAGAGGGUGAUCGGCCACACUGGAACUGAGACACGGUCCAGACUCCUACGGGAGGCAGCAGUAGGGAAUCUUCCGCAAUGGGCGAAAGCCUGACGGAGCAACGCCGCGUGAGUGAUGAAGGUCUUCGGAUCGUAAAACUCUGUUAUUAGGGAAGAACAAAUAUGUAAGUAACUAUGCACGUCUUGACGGUACCUAAUCAGAAGGCCACGGCUAACUACGUG
rnacentral:rRNA from 1 species